rnacentral:rRNA from 1 species
AGUGAACGCUGGCGGUAGGCCUAACACAUGCAAGUCGAACGGCAGCACAGGAGAGCUUGCUCUCUGGGUGGCGAGUGGCGGACGGGUGAGGAAUACAUCGGAAUCUGCCCAGUCGUGGGGGAUAACGUAGGGAAACUUACGCUAAUACCGCAUACGACCUUCGGGUGAAAGAGGGGGAUCGCAAGACCUCUCGCGAUUGGAUGAGCCGAUGUCGGAUUAGCUAGUUGGCGGGGUAAUGGCCCACCAAGGCGACGAUCCGUAGCUGGUCUGAGAGGAUGAUCGGCCACACUGGAACUGAGACACGGUCCAGACUCCUACGGGAGGCAGCAGUGGGGAAUAUUGGGCAAUGGGCGCAAGCCUGAUCCAGCCAUACCGCGUGGGUGAAGAAGGCCUUCGGGUUGUAAAGCCCUUUUGUUGGGAAAGAAAUCUUUCAGGCUAAUACCCUGGGAGGAUGACGGUACCCAAAGAAUAAGCACCGGCUAACUUCGUG